AUUGAACGCUGGCGGCAUGCUUUACACAUGCAAGUCGAACGGUAACAGGUUAAGCUGACGAGUGGCGAACGGGUGAGUAAUGCAUCGGAACGUGCCCGGUCGUGGGGGAUAACGCAGCGAAAGCUGCGCUAAUACCGCAUACGAUCUGAGGAUGAAAGCGGGGGACCGUAAGGCCUCGCGCGAUCGGAGCGGCCGAUGUCAGAUUAGGUAGUUGGGGGGGUAAAGGCUCACCAAGCCAACGAUCUGUAGCUGGUCUGAGAGGACGACCAGCCACACUGGGACUGAGACACGGCCCAGACUCCUACGGGAGGCAGCAGUGGGGAAUUUUGGACAAUGGGCGAAAGCCUGAUCCAGCCAUGCCGCGUGCAGGAUGAAGGCCUUCGGGUUGUAAACUGCUUUUGUACGGAACGAAAAGACUCUUUCUAAUAAAGAGGGUCCAUGACGGUACCGUAAGAAUAAGCACCGGCUAACUACGUGCCAGCCGCCGCCGUAA
rnacentral:rRNA from 1 species